UCGUUGCUUCGGCGGGCCCGCCUCACGGCCGCCGGGGGGCUUCGUCCCCUGGUCCGCGCCCGCCGAAGACACCUUUGAACGCUGUAUAAUUGUGCAGUCUGAGCGAUAAGCAAAAUUAAUUAAAACUUUCAACAACGGAUCUCUUGGUUCCGGCAUCGAUGAAGAACGCAGCGAAAUGCGAUAAGUAAUGUGAAUUGCAGAAUUCAGUGAAUCAUCGAGUCUUUGAACGCACAUUGCGCCCCCUGGUAUUCCGGGGGGCAUGCCUGUCCGAGCGUCAUUGCUGCCCUCAAGCACGGCUUGUUCUUGGGCUUCGUCCCCCUCGGGGGACGGGCCUGAAAGGCAGCGGCGGCACCGCGUCCGGUCCUCGAGCGUAUGGGGCUUUGUCACCCGCUCUGUAGGCCCGGCCGGCGCCAGCCGAACCCCCAAUCUAUUCAGGUUGACCUCGGAUCAGGUAGGGAUACCCGCUGAACUUAAGCAUAUCAAUAAGCGGAGGAAAAGAAACCAACAGGGAUUGCCUCAGUAACGGCGAGUGAAGCGGCAAGAGCUCAAAUUUGAAAGCUGGCUCCUUCGGGGUCCGCAUUGUAAUUUGCAGAGGAAGCUUCGGGAGCGGUCCCCAUCUAAGUGCCCUGGAACGGGCCGUCAUAGAGGGUGAGAAUCCCGUAUGGGAUGGGGUGUCCGCGCCCGUGUGAAGCUCCUUCGACGAGUCGAGUUGUUUGGGAAUGCAGCUCUAAAUGGGUGGUAAAUUUCAUCUAAAGCUAAAUAUUGGCCGGAGACCGAUAGCGCACAAGUAGAGUGAUCGAAAGAUGAAAAGCACUUUGAAAAGAGAGUUAAAAAGCACGUGAAAUUGUUGAAAGGGAAGCGUUUGCGACCAGACUCGCUCGCGGGGUUCAGCCGACUUUCGGGUCGGUGUACUUCCCCGUGAGCGGGCCAGCGUCGGUUUGGGCGGCCGGUCAAAGGCCCUUGGAAUGUAACGCCUUCCGGGGCGUCUUAUAGCCAAGGGUGCCAUGCGGCCUGCCCGGACCGAGGAACGCGCUUCGGCUCGGACGCUGGCAUAAUGGUCGUAAACGACC
rnacentral:rRNA from 1 species